rnacentral:lncRNA from 1 species
UUAGCAUAAAUUCGGCAUUAAUCCCCUUUUACAAUGAUUUGAACAACUAUUUAUACGCACGAAUGAAAUGCUAGCCGAAUGGUCACUCUUGGCAGAUCAUUGGACAUCUAGAAUCGGCUAGAACAUGCUAGAAUAGGCCAUAGUAAUUUCCUUGAAGCUUCCUCAAUUGCUGGUGACUUAAUGAGUUCAAAUAGCCUAUUGGAAGGUUCAGCCGAAUGCAAGUAGCCAGCUGGUGGUGCUUCGUUGAGCUGAACGGUCAUGGGAGGUAUU